AGAGUUUGAUCCUGGCUCAGGAUGAACGCUAGCGGCAGGCCUAACACAUGCAAGUCGAGGGGUAACAGGGAGCUUGCUCCGCUGACGACCGGCGCACGGGUGCGUAACGCGUAUACAAUCUACCUUUUGCUACGGGAUAGCCCAGAGAAAUUUGGAUUAAUACCGCAUAGUAUAUUGAGAUCGCAUGGUUUUAAUAUUAAAGGUUACGGCAGAAGAUGAGUAUGCGUUCUAUUAGCUAGAUGGUGUGGUAACGGCAUACCAUGGCAACGAUAGAUAGGGGCCCUGAGAGGGGGAUCCCCCACACUGGUACUGAGACACGGACCAGACUCCUACGGGAGGCAGCAGUGAGGAAUAUUGGACAAUGGGCGAGAGCCUGAUCCAGCCAUGCCGCGUGCAGGAAGACGGCCCUAUGGGUUGUAAACUGCUUUUAUACAGGAAGAAACACCUCUACGAGUAGAGGCUUGACGGUACUGUAAGAAUAAGGAUCGGCUAACUCCGUGCCAGCAGCCGCGGUAAUACGGAGGAUCCAAGCGUUAUCCGGAAUCAUUGGGUUUAAAGGGUCCGUAGGUGGAUAAUUAAGUCAGGGGUGAAAGUCUGCAGCUCAACUGUAGAAUUGCCCUUGAUACUGGUUGUCUUGAGUCAUUAUGAAGUAGUUAGAAUAUGUAGUGUAGCGGUGAAAUGCAUAGAUAUUACAUAGAAUACCAAUUGCGAAGGCAGAUUACUAAUAAUGUACUGACACUGAUGGACGAAAGCGUGGGGAGCGAACAGGAUUAGAUACCCUGGUAGUCCACGCCGUAAACGAUGGAUACUAGCUGUUCGGAUUUAUCUGAGUGGCUAAGCGAAAGUGAUAAGUAUCCCACCUGGGGAGUACGUUCGCAAGAAUGAAACUCAAAGGAAUUGACGGGGGCCCGCACAAGCGGUGGAGCAUGUGGUUUAAUUCGAUGAUACGCGAGGAACCUUACCAGGGCUUAAAUGUAAGUUGCAUGAUUUAGAGAUAGAUCUUUCUUCGGACUACUUACAAGGUGCUGCAUGGUUGUCGUCAGCUCGUGCCGUGAGGUGUCAGGUUAAGUCCUAUAACG
rnacentral:rRNA from 1 species